AUUGAACGCUGGCGGAAUGCUUUACACAUGCAAGUCGAGCGGCAGCACGGGGGCAACCCUGGUGGCGAGCGGCGAACGGGUGAGUAAUACAUCGGAACAUGCCCAGUCGUGGGGGAUAACACUUCGAAAGAAGUGCUAAUACCGCAUACGUCCUGAGGGGGUAAGCUGGGGAUCGCAAGACCUCGCGCGAUUGGAGUGGCCGAUGUCAGAUUAGCUAGUUGGUGGGGUAAAGGCCUACCAAGGCAACGAUCUGUAGCUGGUCUGAGAGGAUGAUCAGCGACACUGGAGCUGAGACACGGCCCAGACUCCUACGGGAGGGAGCAGUGGGGAAUGUUGGACAAUGGGGGCAAACCUGAUACAUCCAUUCCGCGGAAGUGAAGAAGGCCUUCGGGUUGUAAAGCUCUUUCGGCAGGAACGAAACGGUGAGCUCUAACAUAGCUUGCUAAUGACGGUACCUGAAGAAGAAGCACCGGCUAACUACGUG
rnacentral:rRNA from 1 species